AUUUCUUCUGAACAAGCAGGUGAACAGUACAGCUUUCUCAGGAGAUUUUCUCAGUCAGGCUAAUCAGCCAAUUUCGUGUUUUUGAAGUACAUCACAUUUCUUCUGAAAAAGUGAACGGUAUUUGCUGUCUAGCUUUCUCUGAAGAUUUUCUCAAGCUAAUCAUCCAAUUUCGUUACCGUCAAUAACAUGGGUGAACAACUAAGGAUACUGGUCAGAGAAAUGGAGGAGGCCAAAAUGGAAGUUGACCAUGAUGGGACCACAAUCCAAGAAAAGGAACAGGAUUGGAUAUGUGGGGAUGAUCUUUCUCUCUGUUCACUUGAUGAGGCAGAUUAUCUGGUCAGUAGUGUAUGCAUAGCGAUAGGUGAAAGGGAUGACACCGACUUGGUAAGAUCCUUAUUUUACCUUAAACUUAAAUGGUUAAUCAUCAUACAUGGUCAAAUACCUCUGAGUGACUGUGUCUCUAAUGUAGGGAGUUGAACAUGAUGGGACCACGAUCCAGCCCAAUGAAAAGGAUUGGAAAAAUGGGGACCAUCUUUCUCUCCAUUCAUUUGACGAGGAAGAUUUUCUGAAUCCUGUUAUGGAUUGUGCAGUCCAGGUCAUUCCCCCUGGCUCUGUGAGACCAGACCAGGAGACCAGACCCCUGUGGGAGAGCCCCAACAGGCAGGCCAUCAAGGCAUCCCUGGAACUUCUUCAACUUGACAUUGAAGUCACCCAGGAUGUCAUGAACACCGACGCCUACCCGAAAGAGGUGCCUGUUGCAAAGAGCCAGAGGCAAGGCCAGGUGGGUGCAGCCCUGAGACGGUGUGCAAACGAGUUCAGGGGGAGAAGACUCCAAAAGAUCCAGAAAGACAUGUUGGAACGGAUCUUGAGAGAGUUUGAAGGACUUUACGAAGUCAUGGACUCGGACCACGCGGAUCACAGUGAUGUGGAGCUGCAUGAGAUAUGGCAGAGAGAGAUCCAGAAGCUGCACAUGGCGUGCAGGGCGUGCAGGGCCCUCACUGAGAAGACCAAGUGUAUAGUUCAACAACAAAGGUCAACCCCUCUCAGGAAGAGAAGUGCACCGUCCAACGCUUUGAUCUACCCCAGAUCACUCCUGUGGUCCCCUUCACCAUUGAGGAUGACUUGGAAUCCCCCCCUCUGACUCCUCCUACUCCCGAGGCUCUCCUCUUCAACCAGCAGCUUUCCCGGGCUUUGUCUCCCCUAAACCGUUUCACCGUUGGAGUUGUGACUCCUAGCAGGCCUGAGGAGACUCUACCUGCUGUGGGGUGUUUGCCCCACUCGCAUAUGCCACCAAUCACCCACUCGAGCGCUGAUGCAAAGAAGCUGCUCCAAGGAGGAUUGGAAGAGUACCAGCAGGAUGUGACGGAAGACACGACCGGCAUCGCCAAGGCGAUGUCGUACGUCCAACCACUGACUGUGGAGGAAGUCAGUGAGGAAAAGCAAGAGCAUGAGUCCAAAAACUACGUGAAGGAGAAGAAAAAGAAAAAGAAGAA